GUGGCGGACGGGUGAGUAACACGUGGGAACGUGCCCUUUGGUACGGAAUAACUCAGGGAAACUUGAGCUAAUACCGUAUGUGCCCUUCGGGGGAAAGAUUUAUCGCCAUUGGAGCGGCCCGCGUCUGAUUAGCUAGUUGGUGAGGUAACGGCUCACCAAGGCGACGAUCAGUAGCUGGUCUGAGAGGAUGACCAGCCACAUUGGGACUGAGACACGGCCCAAACUCCUACGGGAGGCAGCAGUGGGGAAUCUUGCGCAAUGGGCGAAAGCCUGACGCAGCCAUGCCGCGUGGAUGAUGAAGGUCUUAGGAUUGUAAAAUCCUUUCACCGGUGAAGAUAAUGACUGUAGCCGGAGAAGAGGCCCCGGCUAACUUCGUGCCAGCAGCCGCGGUAAUACGAAGGGGGCUAGCGUUGCUCGGAAUUACUGGGCGUAAAGGGCGCGUAGGCGGACAUUUAAGUCAGGGGUGAAAUCCCAGAGCUCAACUCUGGAACUGCCUUUGAUACUGGAUGUCUUGAGUGUGAGAGAGGUAUGUGGAACUCCGAGUGUAGAGGUGAAAUUCGUAGAUAUUCGGAAGAACACCAGUGGCGAAAGCGACAUACUGGCUCAUUACUGACGCUGAGGCGCGAAAGCGUGGGGAGCAAACAGGAUUAGAUACCCUGGUAGUCCAC
rnacentral:rRNA from 1 species